GGAAGGAUGGCCCAGUGGUUAAGGCACUGGACUGGGAUUAGGAGGGCUGGGUUCAAUUCCUGGCCCUGCCA
rnacentral:tRNA from 1 species